rnacentral:ncRNA from 16 species
UAUAUUUGCUGCUGAAUCGGUUUUGCUUUUCCUUUUCGUAAAAGCAAAUUAAAAGGGAAUCGGGUGCAAAUCCCGAACAGUCCCGCUGCUGUGAAGCUCUAUUCAACAUUCUGAAAAAACUGAGCCACUGGUCUAUGACCGGGAAGGCUUCAGAAUGGGAGUAAGUCAGAAGACCUGCCAUUCAUUAAAGGUUUACA